UACGAAGGGGGCUAGCGUUGCUCGGAUUGACUGGGCGUAAAGGGCGCGUAGGCGGUUCGUACAGUCAGACGUGAAAUUCCUGGGCUCAACCUGGGGGCUGCGUUUGAUACGUGCGGACUUGAGUGCGGAAGAGGGUCGUGGAAUUCCCAGUGUAGAGGUGAAAUUCGUAGAUAUUGGGAAGAACACCGGUGGUGUAAACGGCUUUCUGGACCGUAACUGACGCUGAGGCACGAAAGCGUGGGUAGCAAACAGG
rnacentral:rRNA from 1 species